UACGAAGGGGGCUAGCGUUGCUCGGAAUCACUGGGCGUAAAGCGCACGUAGGCGGCUUUCUAAGUCAGGGGUGAAAUCCUGGAGCUCAACUCCAGAACUGCCUUUGAUACUGGGAAGCUCGAGUCCGGAAGAGGUGAGUGGAACUCCAAGUGUAGAGGUGAAAUUCGUAGAUAUUCGGAAGAACACCAGUGGCGAAGGCGGCUCACUGGUCCGGUACUGACGCUGAGGCGCGAAAGCUAGGGGAGCAAACGGG
rnacentral:rRNA from 1 species